rnacentral:rRNA from 1 species
CCUAACACAUGCAAGUCGAACGGAAACGACGAAAACAAUCCCUUCGGGGUGCGUUUUCGGGCGUCGAGUGGCGGACGGGUGCGUAACGCGUAGGAAUCUACCUUAUAGUGGGGGUCAACUCGGGGAAACUCGAGCUAAUACCGCAUAAGCCUUACGAGGGAAAGCAGGGGAUCUUCGGACCUUGCGCUAUUAGAUGAGCCUGCGUCGGAUUAGCUUGUUGGUAGGGUAAUGGCCUACCAAGGCAACGAUCCGUAGCUGGUCUGAGAGGAUGAUCAGCCACACUGGGACUGAGACACGGCCCAGACUCCUACGGGAGGCAGCAGUGGGGAAUAUUGGACAAUGGGCGCAAGCCUGAUCCAGCAAUGCCGCGUGUGUGAAGAAGGCCUUAGGGUUGUAAAGCACUUUCAGUAGGGAAGAAAUGCGUGUAGUUAAUAACUGCGCGUCUUGACGGUACCUACAGAAGAAGCACCGGCUAACUCCGUGCCA